CCUGGUGGCUCAGACGGUAAAGCGUCUGCCUGAAAUGUGGGAGACCCGGGUUCGAUUCCUGGGUCAGGA
rnacentral:tRNA from 1 species